rfam:Aedes aegypti strain Liverpool supercont1.224 genomic scaffold, whole genome shotgun sequence.
GCUUAGCUGAGUUGGUAAAGCGCUUGUCUAGCAUACAAGAGUCUUAGGUUGGAAUCCCAGCCGAGCA